GUCCCUUUAUCGACAUCUGAUAAAAUUGGAACGAUACAGAGAAGAUUAGCAUGGCCACUGCGCAAGCAUGACACGCACAAAUCGAGAAAUGGUCCAACUUUUUUUCCCAAUCGUUUUCUGGUUUAGUCAUUUGGUACUUCAUCGUCAUGUUUCAUUUGACACUAUUGGCCCAUAGAUGAACUUAGGGCUGCUUUAAAUGGUGUACUCGGUGACCAUGAUUGUCCCUUCGGGGACAUCCGAUAAAAUUGGAACGAUACAGAGAAGAUUAGCAUGGCCCCUGCGCAAGUAUGACACGCACAAAUCGAGAAAUGGUCCAAAUUUUUUUGUCAAGUCAACUUGGGUAAUCGUCCCCUUGGGGACAUCUAAUAAAAUUGGAACCAUACAGAGAAGAUUAGCAUGGCCCCUGCGCAAGGAUGACACGCACAAAUCGAGAAAUGGUCCAAUUUUUUUUUCAACUUACCCUUACGAAUUUGGUCAGUUUUUAGCUACAUCUAUCUCAAAUCAUGAUUCCUUUUUACCAUCAAAGUAUUAAAAAUUGAUAAUUUUAAUGCGUAUGUCAACUUGCACUCAAAGUCAUGAUGUUGGUGACCAUUCCGUCAACUAUAUUGCUAGUAAUGAAUCUGGCGACAUUGUUUUUGCUUCACUGGUUUGUAUACCAAUGAAUCCGAUAAAACUGGAACGAUACAGAGAAGAUUAGCAUGGCCCCUGCGCAAGGAUGACACGCACAAAUCGAGAAAUGGUCCAAAUUUUU
rnacentral:lncRNA from 1 species